rnacentral:rRNA from 1 species
AUCCAGCCAUGCCGCGUGUGUGAAGAAGGCCUUUUGGUUGUAAAGCACUUUAAGCGAGGAGGAGGAGCUCUUGGUUAAUACCCAAGAUGCUUGGACGUUACUCGCAGAAUAAGCACCGGCUAACUCUGUGCCAGCAGCCGCGGUAAUACAGAGGGUGCAAGCGUUAAUCGGAUUUACUGGGCGUAAAGCGCGCGUAGGUGGCCAAUUAAGUCAAAUGUGAAAUCCCCGAGCUUAACUUGGGAAUUGCAUUCGAUACUGGUUGGCUAGAGUAUGGGAGAGGAUGGUAGAAUUCCAGGUGUAGCGGUGAAAUGCGUAGAGAUCUGGAGGAAUACCGAUGGCGAAGGCAGCCAUCUGGCCUAAUACUGACACUGAGGUGCGAAAGCAUGGGGAGCAAACAGGAUUAGAUACCCUGGUAGUCCAUGCCGUAAACGAUGUCUACUAGCCGUUGGGGCCUUUGAGGCUUUAGUGGCGCAGCUAACGCGAUAAGUAGACCGCCUGGGGAGUACGGUCGCAAGACUAAAACUCAAAUGAAUUGACGGGGGCCCGCACAAGCGGUGGAGCAUGU